rnacentral:tRNA from 1 species
AUUGUUUUGGCAGAGUAGUGCAUUAAAUUUAGAAUUUAGAUAUGUAUGGAUAAUACAGGCAAUA